rnacentral:rRNA from 1 species
GUCCCAGUUCGGAUUGUAGUCUGCAACCCGACUACAUGAAGCCGGAAUCGCUAGUAAUCGCGGAUCAGAAUGCCGCGGUGAAUACGUUCCCGGGUCUUGUACACACCGCCCGUCACACCAUGGGAGUCGGAAAUGCCCGAAGCCGGUGACCCAACCCGAAAGGGAGGGAGCCCGUCGAAGGGCAGGUCGGAUGACUGGGGUGAAGUCGUAACAAGGUACC